CAGUAGCCGCGGUAAAACGAAGGGUGCAAGCGUUAAUCGGAAUUACUGGGCGUAAAGCGUGCGUAGGCGGUGAGUUAAGUCUGCUGCGAAAUCCCCGGGCUCAACCUGGGAAUGGCAAUGGAUACUGGCAAGCUAGAGUGUGUCAGAGGAUGGUGGAAUUCCCGGUGUAGCGGUGAAAUGCGUAGAGAACGGGAGGAACAUCAGUGGCGAAGGCAGCCAUCUGGGACAACACUGACGCUGAGGCACGAAAGCGUGGGGAGCAAACAGGAUUAGAUACCCCCGUAGUCCCUGUCUCUUAUAC
rnacentral:rRNA from 1 species